rnacentral:rRNA from 1 species
UACAUGGGGUGCAAACGUUGCUCGGAAUUAUUGGGCGUAAAGCGCACGAUAGGCGGGUUCGUUAAGUCGGAUGUGAAAGCCCUCGGCUCAACUGAGGAAGUGCACCCGAAACUGGCGAGCUUGAGUACGAAAGAGGAUCGCGGAAUUCCCGGUGUAGAGGUGAAAUUCGUAGAUAUCAGGAGGAACACCGGUGGCGGAAGGCGGCGAUCUGGGGUCGAUACUGACCGCUGAGGUGACGAAAGCGUGGGGAGCAAACAGG